UACGAAGGGGGCUAGCGUUGCUCGGAAUCACUGGGCGUAAAGCGCACGUAGGCGGCUUUCUAAGUCAGGGGUGAAAUCCUGGAGCUCAACUCCAGAACUGCCUUUGAUACUGGAGAGCUUGAGUCCGGGAGAGGUGAGUGGAACUCCGAGUGUAGAGGUGAAAUUCGUAGAUAUUCGGAAGAACACCAGUGGCGAAGGCGGUUCACUGGCCCGGUACUGACGCUGAGGUGCGAAAGCGUGGGGAGCAAACAGG
rnacentral:rRNA from 1 species